rnacentral:lncRNA from 1 species
CCUUCAUGCAAGACCAGUGAUACCACUACACCGUCUGUACACCACCACUGGAAAUGCUCCUGACCACAGAAAAUGAAUGGCUCGUGUGCUCAGAAUCCAUGGUUCAAUUACUGCAGCCACAUAAUCAUCAUCUAAGUUGGAUAUCAGCACAUUGGUGAAAAGCCCCUCUGGGGGCCCCAUUAACUUUGACCCGAAAGUCCCUGUGAUAUAAUGUUAAACUCUCCCCACACUCUCAUCUCAGGUAAUUGGCAACGCCAGUGUGACUCCAUUACUCCCAUCUGAGUUGCGGCAGUUAAGCCCUGUGUUAACAAGGCUUGUUUUAGCAAUACCCCAUACAACAUCAGACUCCUCUCCUGUAAGACUCCCACAGUUGUGUUUCUUGAGCAGUGACCCUGAAUGAUCCCAUAUUUUAAAAGGAAAAAAAAAAAGCCUCAGAUCCAGAGACUAAAAUAAUAAAAAUAAUAGAACCUCUCUCUGAAUCAUCUCAAACAUGCACAAAGCAGCUUUAACAGUAAACAUCAUAAGGGCAGAAACUUUGGGUACAUCUGGUUCACCAUUAUCUCUCAGAAUCUAGCUCAGUGCCUGGCAAACCGCAUGACCUUAAUGACUACAUCUCUUUACUGUUCCUAAAGGUCAGGCUUCAUUUGCGUGUUCUGGUCUCCAAUCUUCAAGCACUAUGCUUUAAUCCAUCCAGGCAGCUGGCUGCCUCUGUCUCCCCGAAGACUUCCAGGACAAGAGGCUACAUUGCCUCCUCAGGCUGCUGAGUCAUCUUCCUAUCAGGAAAUUGUUUCUGCCUUGGCUAAAUAGAUUUCCAUUUCUGGAACAUGUCUUAUUGUGUAGCUAUGCAGAUUCUGCAGCUUGUGCAGCCACCAAAUCACCUACUGACAACAGCCAGCUACUCAUCCUAGUCCUUUGGAUGCAUUUCCAACAAGAACUCUCUAGUAAACUGAAAGUAAUCUAGUAACAUCUGAAAGUUCCCUUCCCCACUUCUAUAAUCCACCCCAAAGAGUACAAACAGUCAGAGAAGCCCUCCUUUUACAGGUACCUUAGAUCCCCUGUCUGUUUCCUGUGCUACCUAAGGAGCCUGUGUGGGAGGAAGCGCCAGGCAUCAGUAUGUCAAUUGCAUCAAGACCUGGAGCCCAAUCA